AGGAGCUCUUCCAGAGUAUUUGGGCAGUUGCACCAGAAUAUUCCUCAUGACAGAGGUAUGUGGCAUUCUGCCAGCAUAGUGGGGCUUUAACCAAUUCCUGUACAGUGGUACCUUGGGUUAAGAACUUAAUUCAUUCUGGAGGUCCGUUCUCAACCCGAAACUGUUCUUAAUCUGAGGUACCACUUUAGCUAAUGGGGCCUCCCGCUGCCGCCGUGCAAUUUCUGUCUUAUCCUGAAGCAAAGUUCUUAACCUGAGGUAAUAUUUCUGGGUUAGCGGAGUCUGUAACCUGAAGCGUCUGUAACCUGAAGCAUCUGUAACCUGAGGUACCACUGUGGCGCCUUAGCAGAUGGUUCUGCAGUCUAGGGUUAUGCCUUUAAUGUUCAUGUUAUACUGUAUUGCCAUCUAGUGGAAAUGUAAAGGUUGCCAGUAGCUUGUGUGUCAGUUACAUACUGUACAACCUAAUCAAGUUUGGGGACAAACUAAACGUUUCCCCUUUACAUUGCCUUUUGAUUUGAGAGCCAUGAACCAGAGUACUGUACAUAAAUAGAGACGGAACGUUUGUAUUUCUGUUUUAAGCCUAUAAUCUGCCACAUCCCUUUUUUUGAGGUUUUUGAAGACUUUGGUGAUUCGUUGUCCCCGAAGGGGGCAAUGACAAUAAAGAUAUUAUUAUUAUUAUUAUUAUUAUUAUUAUUAUUAUUAUUAUUAUUGAAGCUUUUCCAAAACUUCUUUGAAACUUUUAAAACUUUUUUGGGGGUUUUUGGAUUUGGGGUUAGGAUGUUUGGAAUUCAAGGACUUGGUGUUGGGGAGGGGUUUGCAAGAAUCUGGAAGCUUGUGUGUUUUUUUCCUGCAUUUUUAUGAUUUUCUGUGACCAUUGGGCCACUCUGCUGUUUUUUAAAAAAAAAUCUGGAUUUGAAUUUCUGUGUGGUGGGUGGCUGGGGGAACAGUUGAGGAGGGGGUUCUUCAGCAAGAAGCAAAGAGUGGAAGAGGAACCUUCUUCGAGUUGUCCCCCAGAGUCUUAGAAAAUGUACUGUACACUUUGUUGAUUUUUAAAUGUUUUUCUGUCAUGUUUAGAAACUUAAUUUAUUGUUCCUUCAAUUUUUGAAAUGCUCUUUACAGUAUGUGUGACUUUAAAGAGCACUUAAUAAACUCUUGUUGUACCAAAUUUGGCUUUGUUUGGACUUUUUUUGACCAUAGGAACGCAUUAAUUGGAUUUCAAUGCAUUCCUAUGGGAUUUCGUGCUUCGCAAGACGAAAAAUUCGCUAGACGAAAAAACUCGCAGAACGAAUUAAUUUCGUCUUGCGAGGCACCACUGUAUUCUUUCCUUGAACUUCCUUCUGCUCCAAACUAUUAUACAACUGCAGUCACAGAAGCACAUUUAUUUGUAAGCGUUCCUUAUUUGUUUUAAUGGGGUAUCUCUUCCAAGUAAACUCAUUAAGGUGCUCACAUGAGUGUUUAAAACUAAUUGAUUUAGGCCACAAAUAUCGGAAACCUCCAUACCUAAAAACCUUAUUGCAUUGUAAGAUCUUCAGAGGGGCUGUAUGGUGGUAGUUCUGUCACCCUCAGAAAUGUGGAGAACAGCAGCAUAAAAUGUUGGAAGUGCAACAGCAGAGAUCAUUCAGUGUGUAACUUAAAGGUUAAUUCUAUUCUUCGUGUUCAUCAACUACCCAAGAGGGUAGGUGGCAUGAUCUUUACAGAAGUAAAGAUGCUCAGUAAAGUAUCACUUGCUUUGAUAGGCUGUCUAGCCGUGAGGGAGUUUUCUUCUGGAUAUCUAGACGAAUGUCUCCCUGCUCUCGAGAAGGCCUGUCAAAAAGAAAGCUUAAAUUGUAUAUGAUUUUGCUCAGUGUGUUCAAUAAACAUUUACCAGGAUUUUCUUCUUGGUCUCUGCAUGUCUCAAGUGCCUCUGCUAAUACAGGAGAGGGCUUUCUCUGUGGCAGCCUCGAAAAUGGAAUUUCCCACAGAGGUGUGUCUAGUAUCUUCAUUGUACAAUUUUUGUCGCAUGCUGAAGACACACCAAUUCAUCCUGGCCUUUGACAAUUAAGGUAUAUUUUGUGGGAUUUGCCUCUUUUGCUGAAUGUGUACUGUUUUGUUCCAUUUGGAACAGCUUUACUAUUGUAGUUUUUUAUCAUUACAAUGGUUUUGUUUUUAUAACUGUAUAUUAUUAUAUACUUGUAACCUGUCCUGGGACAUGGUGAAGGCUGGGUAAGAAAUCUUACAAAGGGCUGGAGUACUACUAAGAUGCUGAGGGCUAAAUGCACACCAUGCUCUGCUUGUGAUGGCAUGCUGUCCUGUGGCAAGUGGGCACUUUGCCCUACAACCUAAAGCUGUCAACUUUCCAUAUUAUCACACUCAGCUAUAGGUUUUGGAGGGUCGGGGCAAGGUGCCCCCCUCAGCACUCAGUAGACCUGGUUUCCCUAAUUUGGUUUCAGAAGGGCUACAUGCCUGCCCACCCAUGGUGGUAGCAAUGGCAGUGCUGAACAGAACUCUGGGCUGUAUUUUGAUUUACAGGUACAUCAGAGUUGGCAUUAUGUUGACAGUUGCCACCAAGUUCAGGCAUGCAACCUGGAGAGCCACUCAGUGAGGCUGCUGUGUCUCUCCAAUUUUUGCUGCAGAUAGUUUGCCUGGCAGCAGCACUGAUCAGGGCCAUGUGCCCAGAUUCACCAGCAGCACUGCCUUAUUAAUGCUGGAUCUGCCCCUGACAUACCCACAUUGGGGGCAGGACCACCACAAUUACGAAGACAGCCACAGUGCUAGGGGGUUCAGGUGUGCUGCCCAAAGCGCCAUUCAGGCUUGCUGCCAUACCACUCCUAGUCUUCGCUGGCUGCUCCUGCAGCAACAGCUGUUACACUUGAGCCUCAGCAGUUGGCUGCGUGCUGGUGCCAGGGCUGCAUAUCACCCAAAAAACACUUAUUGCCAGAAACUCCACGGUCAAUGGCAUAUAAUCCAUGAUAGCUGUGGUACUACUUGAACCAGGGCUUUUUUCUGUUGGAACUCGCUGGUGCUCAGUUCAGGUGAGCACCAUUGCCAUUCUAAAAGAAUGAUGGAGAUGUUCGUUGUGAGUUCUGGCACCUCUUUUUCUAGAAAAAUAGCACUGACGUCUCCAGGAUCAAGCAAUACUCUGUCCACUGGAUAACAUCAAUUUUCAAACGAUAAAGCCUGGUUGGAAAUAGUUUAUUUCAACAGAACUUCCUAUAUUCAUUUCUGAAACUUUGUCCUAGAUAUUGGCUAUAAUCCCAGGAUGGGGGAACAGUGUAUGAUUAUGGAAGUGUCACUACUAUCUAUUACGGUACUCUAAUCAAGUGAUUCUGUUCUUAUGUUCUGGUAAAAAAAAGAAAAAGAAAAGAGGGCAUUUUGUUUUCCAUAACUCUGCAUUUUUUUUAAUGUUGCCUUCUCAGGCAAAACAAAUUGGCUGACCUCAGUGGGAAACCUCACUGUUUGUUCAAGAGCCUAUUGAAGUGCAAACGGUCAUAACAUCAGAAGUAUUAAUUUGUUUUGAAACAGAUAAACUGAACCCAUUCUGAUACGCAGCAGUAGAGAAAAGAAAUAUUGAGAUUGGCAAAAUGUUUAAAUGAAUGCAGAUGUCACAACAUGUUUUUAUAUGUGCCAGACCUUUGUGCUCAGCAGGUUGAAAUAAAGUGAUGUAACCUGAAACCUUUCUUUUGGAUAUCUAGGAUUAAUUAUAUAUGGCAGUUCCCACAAAUGAGCCUCUCGUCUAAAAUGAUUGAAGGGAAAUUCUUUCAGUUCUGUAAUGAGGGAUUCUUUACAAAUCCCUCCAAGCUGAGGAAAUUAAGAACACUGAUUGAAUCAUAAUGGUGCACAAUAGGAAACCUUUUCAUCAGGUAAAGAAGGAGUGGUUCCAUUAUUAGGAACACCUGGCCAGCACACAUCCACAGCCAGAGGCAAAGUAAAGGGAAAAUAAACAGAAAUUCAGGCUUCUUACAUUAAAGUGAUCAUAUUGCUCAUUUCUAAUCUACAAAUUUUAACUAAAUGAUUGUGGAACUCACACAAGCAAUAUAUCUGAGGUUUCCAAAUAUUUGUGAAAAGAUAUCAGCUGACCUAUUUAUUGUUUGUCCUGUCCUGAUUUGUUUGAAGGGAGGUUUCAGUCACAAGUGUAACCCCACACUUUCCAGUGCAUUUCCCAGACACUUUCCUUACUGCAAGAAGUCUGCUCUUUUAAACCCAAAUUAUCUCUAAUUUUUGUUUAACCCGCAAGAAAGAAGGGCUUUUUCACUGGCUAGGUUAAAUUCUAAUCCUUCUAACCUUCUUUGGGGUAGUUUUGAGGGUAUGGCAAAAGGAGAUAGGAUCUGCCCAUGCGAUGCCCACCUGGUGGAAACUCUAGCUCACAUGGCCCUUAAAUGUAAAAUGUAUGAUGAUCUCUGCCAACAAUUUUUAGACCAUCUAUGUAUCCCAAUAUGGAAACCAGAGAGAGGGGUCAUACGCUUCCUAUUACAGGGGAGAGAUCAGGAGCUCACGAAGAUAAUAGCUAAGUUCCUCUAUUUGAUUUUUUUGCCGCCGAAAUACGCUACAGGACCCUGCCCUUGCUGGAGACCCAAAGAGGUGAAAUAGAGUGCUUGCCACCUUUUCUUCCCUUUGGCAAAUGACUUGUCUAUCUGGCCAUCAGGUCUUUCUCCAGGCUAUGCCCUCUCUCCCCCUAAACUAUUCUGCAAUAUGUAGUACAUAACUGACUUCCCGUGGUAAGUGUGAGGUUGUCAGGGUGGUGGUAGUGAUGAUUGUGCACUGUUUUUGUGUUAUGCCAGGCACCCCACAGCAGCCAUGUGAUGUUAUGCCAAGAUCCCCUAUAACAGCCAUUUUGUGAAUGACGCCCACAUGACUCUCUCAAAUUCAAAAUGGGCCCACUGGUCCAAAAAGGUUGGGCUUUAGUUUGGUUUUUAACCUUUUCGUUUUAUUUUUUUACUCAUCUUCCCUGAUGAAAUGCCUGUUCUCAUAGAAAACAAAUCCGGGAUCCGGGAUUUGUGUAGCUGUGAUGGGGAAGCAGUGUGUCAACAAGAAAAGAAACCCAGCAUAGAUAUAGGAGCUCAUGCUCUUCCUCACUCGGUUCAUACAAAAACGUGAUUUUCUCCUGAGUUUGUAAACAUUUAAAACAAAAGCUCUAUUAUUCUGAUGCAGGUACGGAACCCAUUUACUUGGGAGUAAAUGACUGAGGACUAACUGCAAUCCACUGCCACUUACUUCUGAGCAAUUAUGCACAGGAUUGCAGUCAGCUCAAUGGGGCUUUCAGGUAAGCAUGAAAACUCCCUUUACUCAGGAGUAAGCCCCACUGAAC
rnacentral:lncRNA from 1 species